ACCGGAAUCGAACCUGGGACCCUUGAGUCCGCAGGCUGACACUCUGUCCACUGAGCCAAACCGGUUAGGGCUAAAUAUUUUGCUAAGAAAAAUUUUCUACCAUAAGAGGGGGGAAAGGCUCCACUUAUCUGCUGGAGGUGUGAGCAGAACAACAGCGCCACCUGCCACUCACAGCAGGUAUUUUCGUGUCAGUGCUCCGCCAUGAUAACACGAAAGGGCUCGCCCUGGGGAGGAAGGGAGGAGAGGAUGACUGAAGUUGUUUGUAGAACUGUUCUUGCUGAGGUUGGGGCAGUACUUUCUGAAUGUUGCUUUUUGGGGAUCUAGCAAAUAAACCCGUUGUUAAAACUGGAUCAGAGAAUUCUGUUGUCACAUUUUGAAAUACUCGGUUAGACCUGUGUCCUGAGGGCAGAGGUUUCCUCACUGGGAUUGGCAUUGAUGCUUCUCUCCGGAGACAGAUAUAUAAAAUUUCUAAUGGCCAUGGAGGUGCAGCUGGCCUCAUGUGACUUCACCACAGCACCUGGCCCACUUUGCUUCUUCGUGGUACCUGCGUGGGUCCUUAUGGUCCCUUGAGUUUGUGACCCCUGGUGUAACACACCUAAUGCCUUAAUGGGAUUGCUGAGCUUCAGAAUUUGAAUCUUGAGGAUAAUGAUGCAUAUAGGUAUGCUUUUCUGGAAAGUACUAGUUACUCUGAACUCACGGUCUCUUGGACGUACGCUGUGCCUCAGUUUGGAAAGAAGUGUCACACACCUGGUACAGUCUCUUGCACGUAGCCCUCUAUAUUUUUAUUGAGUAAAAUAUGAUCCCUGGUGCCAUGUGUCAGAGAAGUCAUUCGUUUCCUUUAAAAAGUGGGUGACACCAAGAAGGUUGAGAAUGAAGGUAAAAAUUCCAAGUUUUCACAGUAUCCUGGGGAAUGCUGGUCUGAAGACGACCUAUAAUGACUGGCAUCCUGUUCUCAUCUCUUCUCCAAGGCACAAUAUAUUUUGCCUUCAAAGAGCUAAUACUAUCUGGUACAUCUACUCUACCCGUAAUGAUGGCAUCAGUAUAGAAACGCUUUAAAAGCUCAAAGGAAAGGGGCUCGUGCUGUCAGAUUUAGUUCUGGCUCUACCACUAAGCAACCAUGAAGUCAUGAAAUGGAACAAGUUUCUUUCCAAGUCAAUGUUACAUAAUAAAUAUGCAUUUCUAGGUAGAAGUGAUCCUAAGCAUAUUUUUAACACCCUUGGGCAUGAAUAGUAGAGUUCCCCGAUAAAGAACUGUUGCCCUCAAUUUUCAUUGGAAGAACAGAAUAAAUUGCAUUAUGCAUCCAAAGAUUUAAUUGAAAGGUAAUAUAUGACCAUGGUGGCUAUGAGAGAAGCAUAAGGAAUGUGAAAGUCCAUGCGACUUCAAAGAAUAAGCACAGACUAAUCUUCUAAGUUAGUAAAAUGAUUAACUUGUGGCUCCUGUGUGGUCUUGCCACAAACCUGAUUUCACCUCUAACCUCCACCCUAAGGGUAGGAAUUUGCAUUGAGAAGCUCAGUAAAGGGUUAAGGAGCCAGAGUGGUUGUGCCUAAAUGGCCAGCUCAAGAUGCCAAUUUGGGUGCAGUGAACUGGUGUUAGUGAUUUACUCCAUUAAACCGUGCCCCUUUGGGGCAAUGCAAAUUGAGGCAAUAUAACUGAUUCUAGCUUAGUCAUGGUGCAUGGACUGGGUAAAAGGUCAUUACCACCUUCUUGUCAGUGAUUGGUCCAAAAAUGGGCAUGUGACUCGGUUCUUGGGGAGGAGACAAAUACAGGAUUACCAGCAUUUCUAGAAUAAUUCUUUCUCACUAUUGGAAGCCAUUCUUUUUGGUCUUGUAUUGAAUAUGAACAAGAAAACAUGGAAACCUGGAUUGCUGCUGGGAGAGGGAACCAGCCAUGGAAUAAGACAAAAAGUCAAUAGGGUAAAGAGAAAGAAAAAAAUCUGAUAUCACCGAGUCUCCUGCCCACAAACCAUGCUACCUCUUGACUUACAUAAGAUAUUUCUGUAGUGUUUAAGCCUAAUGGAUGUGCAUGGUGAGGUGCCUCCUAAGUGACCUGGAGGGCAGGCAUCUGUUUUCUGCUAGUUUAUUCCCUGCACUGUAGAUCUCAGGCUUCAAAAUGCAUUAAAUCAUAUGAGGAACAUGUUAAAAUCCAGGACCCACCACAACACUGAUUCUAUAGGUGACCAGAAGUUCUUCAUUUGUAACAACCCAGGUGACUGAUGCCGAGGACAGCAGACACCCACUAUCCAUUUCCCAUUCUUUACUAAAAACAGUAGGUUGUGUUAGGGUUGGCAAGGUGAGGUGCCAGUUAAAGUUCAUUUAAUAGGUGUGGGCAUGUGACCGUGCUUCCCUCAGUGGGGUCCCUUCCUGACUAAAAGGCAAGGCCUCCUACAGAGAAAGCUGCUUGUCUGACUGAAACGCCCACCGGAUGCCUGGAGUGACCGAUGAUUUGCCAUCUGAGAAAGUUACUGGCCAAGAAUGGAGGAGAAGGCUGCAAGGAGCCUGGAUCCAUGCUUAUUCCUCAAGCCACAGCACCAGCCCUGUUCUGCCUGCUGCCAGGUAUCUGGUUACAUCAGAAAGAUGAAGCCACAUAGGUUUCUGUAAUGUGCAGCUGCAUCCAUAUCUGCUGACACGAGUGCUCCAUAGCCACUCUGAGAAAUACUGCCCUACAUGCUCGGUGUCCAGAAAGUUCUUCAUAAAUGGUUAUGCUUGACUUUUUCUCUUAUGUUUCUUUCUAUUAUGAUUUUCCCUAGAGUCGAGAUUCUUGCAUUCUUUCAAAGUUUUGUUGAAAUGAAAAAGACAAUGGAAUCUAAUAAGUACAUCAUGAAAAUCAACUUUAUUUGACUUUUAAAAAUAAAAUGAAAAUAGUAUCAAACAGUACAAUGCAAGGUUUGAUCUCUGCUGGUCACUUGAGGACCAGUGUUGACUGAGCCUGUUCAAACACAUGCAUCAAACAAAAAUUAAAUCCGGAGUUUAAGAAUAAAAGUAGCAGAAGAAUAUUUUAAAAUA